AACGAACGCUGGCGGCAUGCCUAACACAUGCAAGUCGAACGAGACCUUCGGGUCUAGUGGCGCACGGGUGCGUAACGCGUGGGGACCUGCCCUUAGGUUCGGAAUAACUCCCCGAAAGGGGUGCUAAUACCGGAUAAUGUCUUCGGACCAAAGAUUUAUCGCCUUUGGAUGGGCCCGCGUUGGAUUAGCUAGUUGGUAGGGUAAAAGCCUACCAAGGCGACGAUCCAUAGCUGGUCUGAGAGGAAGAUCAGCCACACUGGGACUGAGACACGGCCCAGACUCCUACGGGAGGCAGCAGUGGGGAAUAUUGGACAAUGGGCGAAAGCCUGAUCCAGCAAUGCCGCGUGAGUGAUGAAGGCCUUAGGGUUGUAAAGCUCUUUUACCCGGGAUGAUAAUGACAGUACCGGGAGAAUAAGCUCCGGCUAACUCCGUG
rnacentral:rRNA from 1 species